AUAUGGACCUCGGAUCAGGUAGG
rnacentral:rRNA from 1 species